UACGUAGGGUGCGAGCGUUGUCCGGAAUUACUGGGCGUAAAGAGCUCGUAGGUGGUUUGUCGCGUUGUCCGUGAAAACUCACAACUCAAUUGUGGGCGUGCGGGCGAUACGGGCAGACUGGAGUACUGCAGGGGAGACCGGAAUUCCUGGUGUAGCGGUGGAAUGCGCAGAGUAUCAGGAGGAACACCGUGGCGAAGGCGGGUCUCGUGGGCAGUGAACUGACGCUGAGGAGCGAAAGCGUGGGGAGCGAACAGGA
rnacentral:rRNA from 1 species